rnacentral:tRNA from 1 species
GGGCCGGUGGCUCAAUGGGUAGAGCGUUGGACUUGCAAUCCAAAGGUUAGGGGUUCGAUUCCCCUCGGGUCCA